rnacentral:rRNA from 1 species
CAGGUCACUCCUACGGGAGGCAGCAGUGAGGAAUUUUGCGCAAUGGGGGAAACCCUGACGCAGCAACGCCGCGUGGAGGAUGAAGUCCCUUGGGAUGUAAACUCCUUUCGACCCGGACGAUACUGACGGUACGGGUGGAAGAAGCACCGGCUAACUCUGUGCCAGCAGCCGCGGUAAUACAGAGGGUGCGAGCGUUGUUCGGAAUUAUUGGGCGUAAAGGGCGCGUAGGCGGUGCGGUAAGUCACUUGUGAAAUCUCUGGGCUCAACUCAGAGUCUGCAAGCGAAACUGCCGUGCUGGAGUAUGGGAGAGGUGCGUGGAAUUCCCGGUGUAGCGGUGAAAUGCGUAGAGAUCGGGAGGAACACCUGCGGCGAAGGCGGCGCACUGGACCAUUACUGACGCUGAGGCGCGAAAGCUAGGGGAGCAAACAGGAUUAGAUACCCUGGUAGUCCUAGCCCUAAACGAUGAUCGCUUGGUGUGUCGGGUACCCAAUCCCGCCGUGCCGAAGCUAACGCGAUAAGCAAUCCGCCUGGGGAGUACGGCCGCAAGGUUAAAACUUAAAGGAAUUGACG